rnacentral:rRNA from 1 species
UAGGGAAUCUUCCACAAUGGACGCAAGUCUGAUGGAGCAACGCCGCGUGAGUGAAGAAGGUUUUCGGACCGUAAAGCUCUGUUGUUGGUGAAGAAGGAUAGAGGUAGUAACUGGCCUUUAUUUGACGGUAAUCAACCAGAAAGUCACGGCUAACUACGUGCCAGCAGCCGCGGUAAAUCGUAGGUGGCAAGCGUUGUCCGGAUUAUUGGGCGUAAAGCGAGCGCAGGCGGAANAAUAAGUCUGAUGUGAAAGCCCUCGGCUUAACCGAGGAAUUGCAUCGGAAACUGUUUUCUUGAGUGCAGAAGAGGAGAGUAGAACUCCAUGUGUAGCGGUGGAAUGCGUAGAUAUAUGGAAGAAUACCAGUGGCGAAGGCGGCUCUCUGGUCUGCAACUGACGCUGAGGCUCGAAAGCAUGGGUAGCGAACAGGAUUAGAUACCCUGGUAGUCCA